CUAUGGUCCCGUCCGGUGUUCUGUAAGUUGGCAACCUAGGCUCCUGACGCGACCCUGGUCCUGAUGGCGGCGGCGACGGCCGCGGCAGCCCUGGCGGCGGCCGAUCCCCCUCCCGCAAUGCCGCAGGCGGCAGGGGCCGGAGGGCCCACAACCCGCAGAGACUUCUACUGGCUGCGCUCCUUUCUGGCCGGAGAAGAAGAGGAGGUUACUUCAAACAGAACCUGGCAGUUGGAUUAAUACCUUGAAGUGUCUGUCUCCAUAACCACAUUUUAGCAAGAUUCCCAGCCUUCCUCAGGUAUUGCUGGAUGCUGUGCCAAAACAACAGUUGCUCCAUUGGAUCGAGUAAAGGUUUUAUUACAAGCUCACAAUCACCAUUACAAGCAUUUAGGAGUAUUUUCUGCAUUGCGUGCUGUUCCUCAAAAAGAAGGAUUCCUUGGAUUGUAUAAAGGAAAUGGUGCAAUGAUGAUUCGAAUCUUUCCCUAUGGUGCAAUCCAGUUUAUGGCAUUUGAGCAUUAUAAAACGUUAAUUACUACGAAGCUGGGAAUUUCAGGUCAUGUGCACAGAUUAAUGGCUGGAUCCAUGGCAGGUAUGACAGCAGUUAUCUGUACUUACCCUCUUGACAUGGUUAGGGUCCGCCUAGCAUUCCAGGUGAAAGGGGAACACAGCUAUACAGGAAUUAUUCAUGCUUUCAAAACAAUUUAUGCAAAGGAAGGUGGUUUCUUUGGAUUUUACAGAGGUCUGAUGCCUACUAUUUUAGGAAUGGCUCCAUAUGCAGGUGUUUCAUUUUUUACUUUUGGUACCUUGAAGAGUGUUGGGCUUUCCCAUGCUCCUACCCUUCUUGGCAGACCUUCAUCAGACAAUCCUAAUGUCUUAGUUUUGAAAACUCAUGUAAACUUACUUUGUGGUGGUGUUGCUGGAGCAAUAGCGCAGACAAUAUCCUACCCAUUUGAUGUGACUCGUCGGCGAAUGCAAUUAGGAACUGUUCUGCCGGAAUUUGAAAAGUGCCUUACCAUGCGGGAUACUAUGAAGUAUGUCUAUGGACACCAUGGAAUUCGAAAAGGACUCUAUCGUGGUUUAUCUCUUAAUUACAUUCGCUGUAUUCCCUCUCAAGCAGUGGCUUU
rnacentral:lncRNA from 1 species